rnacentral:rRNA from 1 species
AUGAACGCUGGCGGGCGUACCCUAAACGCAUGCAAGCCGAACGGGGAAUUUUUUAGCAAUAGAAAUUCUAGUGGCAAACGGGUGAGUAACACGUAGGGAUCUACCUUGAAGUGGGGAAAUAACGGACCGAAAAGGUUCGCCAAUACCGCAUGUGCUCGAGAGAGCAAAGGAAUUCGUAAGGAUUUCGCUUUUGAGAGGAGCCUGCGUUCGAUCAGGUAGUUGGUGAGGGUAAACGGCUCACCAAGCCGAUGACCGAUAGCUGUUCUGAGAGGAAGAUCAGCCACACUGGGACUGUGGACACGGCCCAGACUCCUACGGGAGGCAGCAGCGAGGAAUAUUGCACAAUGGAGGAAACUCUGAUGCAGUAACGCCGCGUGGGGGAAGAAGGACCUUCGGGUUGUAAACCUCUUUUUGUAAAGACGAGUGAGGAACGGUAUUUGCAGAAUAAGUCUCGGCUAACUACGUGCCAGCAGCCGCGGUAAGGACGUAGGAGGCGAGCGUUAUCCGGAUUCACUGGGCGUAAAGCGCAUGUAGGCGGAUGUCUAAGUCGUGUGUUAAAGUCCCUGGCUCAACUGGGGGGAGGUCAUGCGAGACUGGAUGACUUGAGGGCAACAGAGGCACGUGGAAACUCCCGGUGUAGCGGUGGAAUGCGUAGAGAUCGGGAAGAACACCCGUGGCGAAGGCGGCGUGCUGGGUUGCAACUGACGCUGAGAUGCGAAAGUUGUGGGGAGCAAACGGGAUUAGAUACCCCGGUAGUCCACACUGUAAACGAUGAAACCCUAGGUGUGGGGGGAUAAAACCCUCUGUGCCGAAGCCAACGCGUUAAGGGUUCCGCCUGGGGACUAUGAGCGCAAGCUUAAAAACUCAAAGGAAUUGACGGGGGCCCGCACAAGCAGCGGAGCGUGUGUGGUUCAAUUCGAUGCGACACGAAGAACCUUACCAGGGUUUGACAUGUAGGUGGUAGGGAAGGGAAACUGGACCGACUCGCAAGAGAGCCUGCACAGGUGAUGCAUGGCUGUCGUCAGCUCGUGCCGUGAGGUGUUGGGUUAAGUCCCGCAACGAGCGCAAACCCCUGUUGCCAGUUACAAGUGUCUGGCGAGACUUGCCGACGAUUCGUCGGAGGGAAGGGCGGGGAUGACGUCAAGUCAGCAUGUCCUUUAUAUCCUGGGCGACACACACGCUACAAUGGGCGUCAAUAGAGCGUUGCCAAGGCCGAAAAGGCGGAGCAAAUCGCACAAAAGCGCCCACAGUUUCAGAUUGACGGCUGCAAACCCGCCGUCAUGAAGUUGGAGUUGCUAGUAAAACGCGCGUCAGCCCAUAGUGCGUUGAAUACGUUCCCGGGCCUUGUACACACCCGCCCGUCACGUCAUGGAAGUCGGCAACACACCUGAAGGUCGGUGACCUAAACCGCAAGGAAGGAACUGCCGAAGGUGGGGCUGGUAACUGGGGACG